GAUGAACGCUGGCGGCGUGCCUAAUACAUGCAAGUCGAGCGAACAGACGAGGAGCUUGCUCCUCUGACGUUAGCGGCGGACGGGUGAGUAACACGUGGAUAACCUACCUAUAAGACUGGGAUAACUUCGGGAAACCGGAGCUAAUACCGGAUAAUAUAUUGAACCGCAUGGUUCAAUAGUGAAAGACGGUUUUGCUGUCACGUAUAGAUGGAUCCGCGCCGCAUUAGCUAGUUGGUAAGGUAACGGCUUACCAAGGCGACGAUGCGUAGCCGACCUGAGAGGGUGCUCGGCCACACUGGAGCUGGGACACGGUCCAGACUCCUACGGGAGGCAGCAGUAGGGAAUCUUCCGCAAAGGGCGAAAGCUUGACGGAGCAACGCCGCGUGAGUGAUGAAGGUCUUCGGAUCGUAAAACUCUGUUAUUAGGGAAGAACAAAUGUGUAAGUAACUAUGCACGUCUUGACGGUACCUAAUCAGAAAGCCACGGCUAACUACGUG
rnacentral:rRNA from 1 species